UACAGAGGUCUCAAGCGUUGUUCGGAUUCAUUGGGCGUAAAGGGUGCGUAGGCGGCGCGGUAAGUCGGGUGUGAAAUCUCGGAGCUUAACUCCGAAACUGCAUUCGAUACUGCCGUGCUUGAGGACUGGAGAGGAGACUGGAAUUUACGGUGUAGCGGUGAAAUGCGUAGAUAUCGUAAGGAAGACCAGUGGCGAAGGCGGGUCUCUGGACAGUUCCUGACGCUGAGGCACGAAGGUCAUGGGAGCAAACGGG
rnacentral:rRNA from 1 species